UACGGAGGAUGCAAGCGUUAUCCGGAAUGAUUGGGCGUAAAGCGUCCGCAGGUGGCAAUGUAAGUCUGCUGUCAAAGCGUCUGGCUCAACCAGAUAAAGGCAGUGGAAACUACAUAGCUAGAGUAAGGUAGGGGUAGAGGGAAUUCCUGGUGUAGCGGUGAAAUGCGUAGAGAUCAGCAGGAACACCCGUGGCGAAGGCGGCUUCCUGGGCCGCGCCUGACGCUGAGACGCGAAAGCAUGGGGAGCGAACGGG
rnacentral:rRNA from 1 species